GUAAACAUGAUACCCGGCAGUAAUGGUGUCGAUAAUAACAACGUCGACACUCAUGAUAAUAUGUAUUAUUUUAAUUUACUAUGAAACAUUAAAAUAUAAAAUAGUAAUCGUUGUCGAGGAAUAUGAUAGAACCGCAACCGUACACCGAAAGAUCACGCCGACCGGAAAUAUAAUAUAUCAGUCGUGCACGAGAAUCGAUGACGGCCGUGCUUGCCGUACCGAAAUCAUAUUGUUAUAACUUAUGAUAUAAACAAUAAUGUCAAUAAAAUAAUUUUAGAAUAAAAAUUUAGAUAGGAAGAACCGUA